AACGCACCUUGCGCUCCUUGGUAUUCCGAGGAGCAUGCCUGUUUGAGUGUCAUUAAUAUAUCAACCUUCUCUUGUUUGAGUGGUUUGGAUGUGGGGGUUUGCUGGCCCUUCAAAGGGUUCAGCUCCCCUGAAAUGCAUUAGCAGAACACAAACAUGUUCAUUGGUGUGAUAACUAUCUACGCUAUUGAAUGUGAGGGAGCAGUUCAGCUUUCUAACAGUCCUCGGACAAAUUUAUCAUCAUUAAUGUGACCUCAAAUCAGGUAGGACUACCCGCUGAACUUAA
rnacentral:misc_RNA from 1 species